CACGAAUGAACGCGCCGCGCGGGACGGGUAGAGCCGAGCAGGGCCGAGUGGAGCUGACGAAACAGGUGGUGCUGAGUUAAUUUUUCAGCUGUGAAAGCAAGGAGUAUUAUGACAAUUCCUGGUGUGUUUCAGUACCCUCAUCUACUCAAAGAGCAAGUCACACAGUUUCAUUCAGAAGCCAGCAAUGAGAGGAAUUCACAGCAGUGGAGAAUGUGUCCUGUGCUUUCCCACACUCCCAGGAGAUGGAUAAUGAAUUCUCAACAUGCUGUGGAGCUGGAUCGCUACUCAAAGAUGCAGCAACCUUUGUCGAAGGGCUCUUCCUUGCCCUUUGUGGCUCUCCAGCAUGGCAAAGGAUAUAAAGGAUUUAUUGGGUAGGCUUAUAGUGGCUGCCUGUGGAACCAGAGGUGGAAGAAGACAACAUGGCCAUCUGUGUGCUGGAGAGUUAGAGAAUCCAGGCAAAGGCUGAAGUCCUGCUGAUCCCUGCAGAGUGUGGGAUAAGUAUGUGCUGGAAGGCUGAGAGUCAGUGCUGGCAGUCUAAAACAACUGGAG